UACGUACCGUCCAAACGUUAUUCGGAAUUACUGGGCUUAAAGGGUGCGUAGGCGGGCAGGUAAGUCAGUGGUGAAAUCCUGGAGCUUAACUCCAGAACUGCCAUUGAUACUAUCUGUCUUGAAUAUUGUGGAGGUAAGCGGAAUAUGUCAUGUAGCGGUGAAAUGCUUAGAUAUGACAUAGAACACCUAUUGCGAAGGCAGCUUACUACGCAUAUAUUGACGCUGAGGCACGAAAGCGUGGGGAUCAAACAGG
rnacentral:rRNA from 1 species